UCAAUUGACUUCUGUAGCCUACCAUCUUGUAGUUUUUGGCACAGGUAUAGAAAAAUCGGACAAAUAUCGUUUAUAAUUUCCUGACAUUUUGCAGUAAGAAGACUGUCAAUGCAGACAAAUUUAAACUGAAAACAACAACUGAACAACUGAAAAAGACAACUGUAAACCCGCGAGCGUCUCACGCGCUGCGAAUGCGGUUGUAAACAUAUGCUACGCAUUCGCAGCGCGUGAGACGUCCGUUGAAUAUUUGACAGUCGAGUCGAGAGUUUUAGUCGUGAGUUUGCUACAGAAAAAUAAAGAAAAUGGCAAAAUAUGCACUAUUCGACUUUCCGGAUGAAGGGGCUGUGGACAUAGGCGAAAUAUCAUGGGUGGUAGGCGAAGUAAAUUUAAAAGAUCCUUUUGUAACGUAUAAAGUUAAUUGGCCAAACAAGGGAAGGAUUGUGUCAUGUCCAGGACAGAUUAUAUCAGUCAGUGACAACAGAGAGGAGUUAGUUUGCAAGAGGAGGCAUUAUCUUGAUGGUGGAGACAAACUGUCGAGCCCGGAGAAGAAAGGGAAGGGGAAAAGGAAGAAACUGAAGAAUGGUCGAUAUUCUGACGAUGACGACGACGUAGUAUCGCUGGAUCCUCAGUUAAUUCAAUGUGAGAAGAAGAAGAAGAAGAAGAAGAGAAAAAACACAGGUCUUAACGGCUUAAUGGAACUAGAAAAGCAAGGUAUUGGUGCAGUGAUGUACAAAUAUUCACCGUAUGGAAGUGCUUCUUAACAUCAGUGAAUUAUUGUAAUGUGAUGUAGCCUAAUGUUGUCUGUCAUAUUGUACACCAUGGGGUCGCCAACUGGCCUGCUUUGCCUGGCCUGUCAGAUCAUUUAGACUUUUUGCUUUCUGUCAAAAAUUAAGCAUAUUAACAAGAUUAGAUUUGAGUAUUCAUCUCCUGUUCCGCCUGCAUUGUCUACUCGCUCAGGCUCAUCCCCCAUGCUGACCUCUGUUGUACACUCUUGAUGUAACCCUUAACUCUAUGUGCAUCUUCUGUUUGUCAUAGGAUCAUGUCAGCUGAACUCAAUUAACGAAACCAGGAAUGAAGUAAACUGUCUGCACUUAAUUUUCUACCUACAAUUAAAGUUUUUAUUUCCUAUCUCUAUAGUAUAGGGAUAGAUACAGCAAUAUAUUCCUGUAAUCUAUCAGCUGUAAGCUUUGUACCCUCUAACAGGCUUCUGUAGGUAUUUGCCCAGGUGUAUGCCAGUCAGUUUUGUUUUUUUAAUGGAAUUUUUAUUUUCAGUGCCAUCACCCAUCUUGUGAGCUGUUGAGGGAGAACAACCACAGGCUGCAGAGGGAAAAUGAUUCUCUCUAGGCAAAAAUAGCAACAUUGAAAUUGCUGCCAGACGUUUUGCAGAAGAUGGAGGAGUUUCUCCGCUCAGCACCAAGACCAACGACAACACCAAUACCAACACCAACACCAAGACCAGAACCAUCACUAUCACCAGCACCAACAGCAGUUCCAGCACCAGCAACAGAAGACCCAUCACCAGCUCCAGGUCAUUCCAAAAGGACUUGUGGAGCGCUGCUCCUUCCAAAGCCCCCAGAAGUUCAUAAAUGAUCUCCUACAUGGGAUGUAUACCAGGGAAUAUAUGGCAGGCCAUUCAGUGACUGGCCAGUCAUCCAGCAGCUGCACAGAAGGAAAACCUGGCCUAGCCAAACAGGACCUUGUUGAAAUAACAAGUAGAUGCUGCAAAGUUGAAGUUCACCUACGUACCUGAUUCGAACAUAAAAGCAUUUAUACGACAAAAGCUGAACAAUGCUGCCAAAUUUCAGAAACAAUAAAUUAUCAACUGUUAAACUUUUGUUCUAUUUUUUUUGUAUUUUAGCAGUAUGUAGAAAACACUGUGUUAAUGGUGGUUGUAAGCCUAAUUUAUGUGCAGUGAAUUAUUGUUACAGCACUAUGGUUAAAAAUGGCAACAACAAAAAGUGAUACAGUUGAAAAUAUCCAUUAGGUAAAGUACAAUGACAUAGUUAAAAGAACAAACAAAUACUGCAUAAUGCAGUUAUUGUAAUGCAGUAUAUAUAGUGUAUCGUAAUUGUAGUA